GUGUAGGAGGUCAGGCAAGUCUGGCGUGAAAUCCCGGCAUUCAAUGUCGGAACUGCUCUGGAUACUGCCUGGCUCGAGUGCCGGAGAGGAGAACGGAAUUCCUGGUGUAGCAGUGAAAUGCGCAGAUAUCAGGAGGAACACCGAAGGCGAAAGCAGUUCUCUGGAAGGCGACUGACUCUGAAACACGAAGGCCAGGGGAGCAAACGGGAUUAGAUACCCCGGUAGUCCUGGCAGUAAACGUUGCGCGCUAGAUGUUGGCGGUUCGACCCCGCCAGCGUCGCAGCAAACGCGUUAAGCGCGCCGCCUGGGAAGUACGGUCGCAAGAUUAAAACUCAAAGAAAUGGACGGGGGCCCGCACAAGCGGUGGAGUAUGUGGCUCAAUUCGAUGCUACGCGAAGAACCUUACCUGGCCUUGACAUGCUUUGUUCAACCACGGAAACGUGGUGGCCCGCAAGGGCGAAUUGCACAGGUGCUGCAUGGCUGUCGUCAGCUCGUGUCGUGAGAUGUUGGGUUAAGUCCCGCAACGAGCGCAACCCUCGUGUCCUGUUAAAUACUCUGGACAGACUGCCCGCUACAUCGGGGAGGAAGGUGAGGAUGACGUCAAGUCAGGAUGGCCCUUACGGCCAGGGCUGCACACGUACUACAAUGCCCGGCACAAAGGGAAGCAAUAUCGCAAGGUGGAGCAAAUCCCCAAAACCGGGCUCAGUUCGGAUCGC
rnacentral:rRNA from 1 species